rnacentral:rRNA from 1 species
GACGAACGCUGGCGGCGUGCCUAAUACAUGCAAGUAGGACGCAGUUGCGAACGGGUGAGUAACGCGUAGGUAACUGCCUCUUAGCGGGGGAGAACUAUUGGAAACGAUAGCUAAUACCGCAUACUCGUAGAUGGACCUGCGUUGUAUUAGCUAGUAGGUAGGGUAAUGGCGUACCGAGGCGACGAUACCUAGCCGACCUGAGAGGGUGAUCGGCCAACCUGGGACUGGUGAACGGCCCAGACUGCUACCGGAGGCAGCAGUAGGGGAUCUUCGGCAAUGGGGGGAACCCUGACCGAGCAACGGCGCGUGAGUGAAGAAGGUUUUCGGAUCGUAAAGCUCUGUUGUUGAGGAAGCGGUACUUAACCAGAAAGGGACGGCUAACUACGUGCCAGCAGCCGCGGUAAUUC